AGACGUAAGCACAAUUGGCUGAACUCCGUUAUCAAUUUCGGGGUGGCCACCGGCUUGAGCAUUAGCUCUGCCAAUGCGUUGUGUGUUGCCUUGUCCGCCACCCUCAGCUCCUCCUCCGCCUCCAUGAAAGACUCCGUGGUAGUUAGGGAUGAGCACUCCAGUCCCUAGCGACGGCGGAAGGUUCCCGACGUACCAAAACAGGUUGUUUCCUAGCGGAAUGAAAACGGGAAUAGGAGUUCUGACUCCAUGACUAGCAAAAACACCUGCUCCGUAGAUGGCCAUUGAAGAAGCAAAAAUGGAUCUUGAUAAACAAAAUCAAAUCUUUUAUAUGAUUCAUUUUCCAUCGCUCGAGGAUGAUGAAGGAUGACAUUCGCGCGCAUAUUUUUUUUUCGUUUGCAAACUACUACUUUGAACUCUAUCGUAUUCGAAGAUCAUUGUAGCGCAUCUGAGGGGGGAAUAAAAAAUUCAAAUGCUGAAAGUAAAAGAAUAUAAGAAGAAAGUGUAUAGAACGAACCAAUGAGGAAAAAAUUGACGGUUGAAUUCAAAUUUUUUAUUUACA